rnacentral:rRNA from 1 species
AUUGAACGCUGGCGGCAUGCUUUACACAUGCAAGUCGAACGGUAACAGGCCUUCGGGCGCUGACGAGUGGCGAACGGGUGAGUAAUGCAUCGGAACGUGCCCAGUCGUGGGGGAUAACGCAGCGAAAGCUGUGCUAAUACCGCAUACGAUCUAUGGAUGAAAGCGGGGGACCGGAAGGCCUCGCGCGAUUGCAGCGGCCGAUGUCAGAUUAGGUAGUUGGUGGGGUAAAGGCUCACCAAGCCAACGAUCUGUAGCUGGUCUGAGAGGACGACCAGCCACACUGGAACUGAGACACGGUCCAGACUCCUACGGGAGGCAGCAGUGGGGAAUUUUGGACAAUGGGCGCAAGCCUGAUCCAGCAAUGCCGCGUGCAGGAAGAAGGCCUUCGGGUUGUAAACUGCUUUUGUACGGAACGAAACGGCGAGCUCUAAUACAGUUUGCUAAUGACGGUACCGUAAGAAUAAGCACCGGCUAACUACGUGCCAGCAGCCGCCGUAACAC